rnacentral:rRNA from 1 species
GAUGAACGCUGGCGGCGUGCCUAAUACAUGCAAGUCGAGCGAACAGACGAGGAGCUUGCUCCUCUGACGUUAGCGGCGGACGGGUGAGUAACACGUGGAUAACCUACCUAUAAGACUGGGAUAACUUCGGGAAACCGGAGCUAAUACUGGAUAAUAUAUUGAACCGCAUGGUUCAAUAGUGAAAGACGGUUUUGCUGUCACUUUUAGAUGGAUCCGCGCUGCAUUAGCUAGUUGGUAAGGUAACGGCUUACCAAGGCAACGAUGCGUAGCCGACCUGAGAGGGUGAUCGGCCACACUGGAACUGAGACACGGUCCAGACUCCUACGGGAGGCAGCAGUAGGGAAUCUUCCGCAAUGGGCGAAAGCCUGACGGAGCAACGCCGCGUGAGUGAUGAAGGUCUUCGGGUCGUAAAGCUCUGUUAUUAGGGAAGAACAAAUGUGUAAGUAACUAUGCACGUCUUGACGGUACCUAAUCAGAAAGCCACGGCUAACUACGUG